UACGGGGGGAGCAAGCGUUGUUCGGAUUUACUGGGCGUAAAGGGCGCGUAGGCGGCCACCGCAAGUCGGUUGUGAAAUCUCUGGGCUUAACCCAGAAAGGUCAAUCGAUACUGCGGGGCUAGAGUGCAGAAGGGGCAACUGGAAUUCUCGGUGUAGCGGUGAAAUUCGUAGAUAUCAAGCAGAACACCUGCGGCGAAGGCGGCCUUCUGGACGAUGACUGACGCUGAGACGCGAAAGCGUGGGGAGCAAACAGG
rnacentral:rRNA from 1 species